rnacentral:rRNA from 1 species
GACGAACGCUGGCGGCGUGCCUAAUACAUGCAAGUCGAGCGGGCCUCCGGAGGUGCUUGCACCUCCGGACGGCCAGCGGCGGACGGGUGAGUAACACGUGGGCAACCUGCCUUUGAGGCCGGGAUAACACCGGGAAACCGGUGCUAAUACCGGAUACGUCCUCUUUCGCGCCUGCGAGAGGGGAGAAAGACGGGCGUUAAGGCCGUCGCUCAAAGAGGGGCGCGCGGCGCAUUGGCUGGUUGGUGGGGCAAGGGCCUACCAAGGCGACGAUGCGUUGCCGACCUGAGAGGGUGAUCGGCCACACUGGGACUGAGACACGGCCCAGACUCCUGCGGGAGGCAGCAGUAGGGAAUCAUCCGCAAUGGGCGAAAGCCUGACGGUGCAACGCCGCGUGAGUGAGGAAGGUUUCCGGAUCGUAAAGCUCUGUUGUGAGGGAAGAACAGCAUCCGGAGGAAAUGCCGGAGGUUUGCCGGUACCUCACCAGAAAGCCCCGGCUAACUACGUGCCAGCAGCCGCAGUAACAC